rnacentral:lncRNA from 1 species
UUUUAUUAAUAUUUAAAAGGAAGAGCAAAUGGCCAUGUAAAAUUGUAACACAUACAAUUUCUUAUAAGGCAGCGUUUGGUUAGGGGAUAGGGAUAGAAAUAGAUCCUUAUCCCUCCCUUUAUAUCCAAACACUAAUUUUUUAUCCGAGAAUAGUAGUUCUCGGUUAUCCGUACCAACACCUUCAUUUUCUAUAUAAAACUAUCUAAAAUUGUUCUUAUCCACGGAAACAACUCAAUUUUCAUCCAAACAUUAUUUUUCUUAUUCCCAUACUUAUCCCUAUUCCUAUAAUAAGUAGUUCUUGUUUAUACCCGAACCAAACGGUACCGUACACAAGAACAGAUUCU